UNAUCUUCACAUGUUGGUGCCACUAAUCCAUGGUCAGCAAUCAAGCUUGAUAGGUCCUCAGUUUCACUCAAGGACAGUGAGUGUGGAUCAACAAGUACAGUCCUCACAAACACUAAUUACUGCAGAUCCCUUGUUGCAUAUCAUCAUCAUGGAGAUAGGUAGUGAUAGUGCAACUUUGCUGAGUGUUCCUCUUCUUCUACUUUGUAGACUUUCUUCCUGUGUCUUACUUUGUAAGAAUUCAUUGUAACGGUUUUGUGGACUGUGUAUAAGUUUUUAACAAGCGAUGUAUUCCCUAAAUAGAUUCAAGUUUACUAAGACUAAAUUAUGUGAGGCUUUCCAAAUAAACAUCUUCACCUUUAGAGGAACAUUCAUUUCCAUAACUCCCUCCUAUCCUCACUCAGUCACUUGUUGAAGCUGCAUUUACAUUCACUGCCUGUUUUCCAAUUGUUAAAAUACUAUGUACUAUGGGCUAUGAAUCAGAUUUGAGAACUUUACGCUUUAGCCCAUUACAUAGUUCAUUUCAAACUACAAGGUGGUCUAAAAUCAGAUUUGUAGGGCUUCAUAAGCCCAUUACCACAAAAGAUAAGAAUAUUAUUUGUUAUCCAUUAUCCAUUACACAAAAAAUCAUUC